CUAACGCCGGCCCAGAAGGCGGUGGCAUACGGAGGAUCCAAGGGUUAUCCGGAAUGACUGGGCGGAAAGAGUUGCGUAGGUGGCAGAGUAAGGUGAUAGUGAAAGCGUCCGGCUCAACCGGAUAUCCAUUAUCAAAACUGCUCAGAUAGAGGACGAGAGAGGUUAUUGGAAUUCCUAGUGUAGGGGUAAAAUCCGUUGAUAUUAGGAGGAACACCGAUGGCGUAGGCAGAUAACUGGCUCGUUCCUGACACUAAGGCACGAAAGCGUGGGUAGCAAACAGGAUUAGAUACCCGUGUAGUC
rnacentral:rRNA from 1 species